rnacentral:rRNA from 1 species
CCUACGGGAGGCAGCAGUGAGGAAUAUUGGUCAAUGGACGAGAGUCUGACCCAGCCAAGUAGCGUGAAGGAUGACUGCCCUAUGGGUUGUAAACUUCUUUUAUAAAGGAAUAAAACGAGGCACGUGUGCCUUUUUGCAUGUACUUUAUGAAUAAGGAUCGGCUAACUCCGUGCCAGCAGCCGCGGUAAUACGGAGGAUCCGAGCGUUAUCCGGAUUUAUUGGGUUUAAAGGGAGCGUAGAUGGGUUGUUAAGUCAGUUGUGAAAGUUUGCGGCUCAACCGUAAAAUUGCAAUUGAUACUGGCAGUCUUGAGUACAGUUGAGGUAGGCGGAAUUCGUGGUGUAGCAGUGAAAUGCUUAGAUAUCACGAAGAACCCCGAUUGCGAAGGCAGCUUACUAAACUGUGACUGACAUUGAUGCUCGAAAGUGUGGGUAUCAAACAGGAGUAGAUACCCCUGUAGUC